UCUCCACGCCCAGCUCGCUCUCGCCUGC
rnacentral:piRNA from 1 species